UGCCCAACCAUAAACCUAGACUGCAAACCCUACUAGCAGUUCGCCAGAAGAUUACAAGUGAAAAACUUAAAACUCAAAGGACUUGACGGUGUUCCACACAACCUAGAGGAGCCUGUCCCAUAAUCGAUACCCCACGCUAAACCUCACCCCCUCUUGCAAACCCAGCCUAUAUACCGCCGUCAAAAUUUAAAGCCCACCUUGUGAAAGCCCCACCACGGGCACAAUAAUCAACCGUUAAAACGUCAGGUCAAGGUGUAGCUAACGAGGGGGCCGCGAGAUGGGCUACAUUGUCUAAUAUAAACUAUCACCCUAAGCGUCAUGAAACCAACGCCAAUAAGGCGGAUUUAGCAGUAAACCAGGCAAGACAUGCCUGCUUGAACCCAGCCCUGGAACACGUACAC
rnacentral:rRNA from 1 species